rnacentral:rRNA from 1 species
GAUGAACGCUGGCGGCGUGCCUAACACAUGCAAGUCGAACGGAGAUUACGGACGGAAGUUUUCGGAUGGAAGACUGUAAUUCUUAGUGGCGGACGGGUGAGUAACGCGUGGGCAACCUGCCCUAUACAGGGGGAUAGCAGCUGGAAACGGCUGGUAAGACCGCAUAAGUCGGCGAGACCGCAUGGUUUUGCCGGGAAAUGAGCAAUCAGGUAUAGGAUGGGCCCGCGUCCGAUUAGCCAGUUGGCAGGGUAAAAGCCUACCAAAGCAACGAUCGGUAGCCGGACUGAGAGGUCGGACGGCCACAUUGGGACUGAGACACGGCCCGAACUCCUACGGGAGGCAGCAGUGGGGGAUAUUGCAAAAUGGAGGAAACUCUGAUGCAGCGACGCCGCGUGAGUGAAGAAGUAUUGCGGUAUGUAAAGCUCUAUCAGCAGGGAAGAUGAUGACGGUACCUGACUAAGAAGCCCCGGCUAACUACGUG